rnacentral:rRNA from 1 species
UACGAAGGGGGCUAGCGUUGCUCGGAAUCACUGGGCGUAAAGCGCACGUAGGCGGCUUUUUAAGUCAGGGGUGAAAUCCUGGAGUUCAACUCCAGAACUGCCUUUGAUACUGGGAAGCUCGAGUCCGGGAGAGGUGAGUGGAACUCCGAGUGUAGAGGUGAAAUUCGUAGAUAUUCGGAAGAACACCAGUGGCGAAGGCGGCUCACUGGCCCGGUACUGACGCUGAGGUGCGAAAGCGUGGGGAGCAAACAGG